UUCCUUAUAUCUACGGCACUAUAUUUUGUAGUAUUUUUUCAGAUACAGUUGUAGUAUUUUUUAAUUUCAAAGUCUGGCAACCCUGGUUAUAUUCCUUCCUCGGCGACUCUUCGCCAACUUGCCGUAGUUAUGAUAAUAUCCCCCAGUACAGUGGUAGUCUGAUGAUGUCAUAAUUAAUGAUCCAGGCGAUUUAAUCAUGGAAAAAAAGUCGAGUGAAGAGUUCACGAAGUUCGAAAGUGAUCUUAUUACUGAAGAUCUUCGUAAAUGUGCUGAAUUGGAAUUACAUGAAAGAGAAGAUGAACUAUCAACUUAUCUCGGAAAUCUUAAAGAUUUAUU